UGCACCCCAAAUUCCCCGUCUUUAGUUUUGUUCAUGUGCCUGUGCGGUGUAAGCUGUCGUCACAAAUGAUUUCACCACCUGGUUUAAUCCACAGCCUUCAUAAAAGGUCCUAUUCACAAGCAUGACUGAGACGGAUCUCCUGCAGGAAAUGAGCUCCAUACGUCCUGAGUGCUGAGACUCCACAAUACAGUACCUCCCUCACAAACAUGGCCCCCAGUGUUUUGACUGUGUCAUAGCCAUCAAUUAUGAGAUGCAUAUCAACAUCCUUUUGAUGUGUUGAACAGUUUCUUGUCAGGGAAACAUAAUCUGAAUGGAGGAGAAAGAGUGGAGGAGUCUCACAAACACACGCUCAGACCAGUGAAACCAAGCUCUUCCACAGAUUUGGACUAUUUCAGAGCGCUCUCCACCCCGGACUCCUUUAAGAGAUUUCCACAGAUGCUGCCACAUUCUAUUCCUUUCCUUUAUUUUCCUCUCAUUUUUAACUCUUACCAACUGUUAAAGUUCUCGAUAUCUGAAAUAUGUUUAUUCAUUUGUGAUAUAUUUAUUCUCACUUUAUUUAUAUCCAAACCUUAUACCCUGACUUUGAUUACAAUAAAU